rnacentral:tRNA from 1 species
GCCUGGGUGGUGGAAAGGUAGACACAAGGGAUUUAAAAUCCCUCGGUCUGAAUAAGGCCGUGCGAGUUCGACUCUCGCCCUAGGCA